ACAUGCAUACAACAUAGCAUUAAUGCACUAGAUCCCAUUAGAACUUUGUAGUUAAGUGCGUUUGGGCUAGAGUAGUAUUGGGAUGGGUGACCUCCCGGGAAGUCCUACUGUUUUACAUGCC
rnacentral:rRNA from 1 species